rnacentral:rRNA from 1 species
GGUCAAGUUGAUCUGCCCAGGGUAAGUCGGGGCCUAAGGCGAGGCCGACAGGCGUAGUCGAUGGAUAACCGGUUGAUAUUCCGGUACCCGCUGUGAAGCGCCAAACAUUGAAUCAGGUGAUGCUAAGCCCGUGAAGCCCCCUUGUUGAUCCUUCGGGUGAGAUGGGGUGUGGUGGAGCCGGUGACCCGAGCUUGUAGUAGGUGAGUGAUGGGGUGACGCAGGAAGGUAGUCCAGCCCGGGCGGUGGUUGUCCCGGGGUAAGGGUGUGGCCUGAGAGGCAGGUAAAUCCGUCUCUCGUGAAGGGUGAGACCUGAUGCCGAGCCGAUUGUGGUGAAGUGGAUGAUCCUAUGCUGUCGAGAAAAGCCUCUAGCGAUGUUUCAUGGCGGCCCGUACCCUAAACCGACUCAGGUGGUCAGGUAGAGUAUACCGAGGCGUUCGGGUGAACUAUGGUUAAGGAACUCGGCAAAAUGCCCCCGUAACUUCGGGAGAAGGGGGGCCGCUUCCGGUGAUCCGUUUUACACGGGGAGCUGGGGGUGGCCGCAGAGACCAGCGAGAAGCGACUGUUUACUAAAAACACAGGUCCGUGCGAAGCUGUAAGGCGAUGUAUACGGACUGACGCCUGCCCGGUGCUGGAACGUUAAGGGGACCGGUUAGUCACUCUUCGGGGUGGCGAAGCUGAGAACUUAAGCGCCAGUAAACGGCGGUGGUAACUAUAACCAUCCUAAGGUAGCGAAAUUCCUUGUCGGGUAAGUUCCGACCUGCACGAAUGGCGUAACGACUUCUCGACUGUCUCAACCAUAGGCCCGGUGAAAUUGCAUUACGAGUAAAGAUGCUCGUUUCGCGCAGCAGGACGGAAAGACCCCGGGACCUUUACUAUAGCUUGAUAUUGGUGUUCGGUUCGGCUUGUGUAGGAUAGGUGGGAGACUGUGAAGCGGCCACGCCAGUGGUUGUGGAGUCGUCGUUGAAAUACCACUCUGGUCGUGUUGGAUGUCUAACCUGGGUCCGUGAUCCGGAUCGGGGACAGUGUCUGGUGGGUAGUUUAACUGGGGCGGUUGCCUCCUAAAGAGUAACGGAGGCGCCCAAAGGUUCCCUCAGCCUGGUUGGUCAUCAGGUGGUGAGUGUAAGUGCACAAGGGAGCUUGACUGCGAGACUGACGGGUCGAGCAGGUGCGAAAGCAGGGACUAGUGAUCCGGCGGUGGCUUGUGGGAGCGCCGUCGCUCAACGGAUAAAAGGUACCCCGGGGAUAACAGGCUGAUCUUCCCCAAGAGUCCAUAUCGACGGGAUGGUUUGGCACCUCGAUGUCGGCUCGUCGCAUCCUGGGGCUGGAGUCGGUCCCAAGGGUUGGGCUGUUCGCCCAUUAAAGCGGCACGCGAGCUGGGUUUAGAACGUCGUGAGACAGUUCGGUCCCUAUCCGCUGCGCGCGUAGGAGUCUUGAGAAGGGCUGUCCCUAGUACGAGAGGACCGGGACGGACGGACCUCUGGUGUGCCAGUUGUUCUGCCAAGGGCAUGGCUGGUUGGCUACGUUCGGGAGGGAUAACCGCUGAAAGCAUCUAAGCGGGAAGCCUGCUUCGAGAUGAGGACUCCCACCCCCUUGAGGGGUUAAGGCCCCCUGUAGACGACGGGGUUGAUAGGCCGGAUCUGGAAGCCCUGUGAGGGGUGGAGGUGACCGGUACUAAUAGGCCGAGGGCUUGUCCA